AUCGAGAGGCUGGCGCGGGCGGACGCCUUGCCAACCCGGUCAGGUCCGGAAGGAAGCAGCCGCAGCAUUUUUCGUCUGGGUCGCUGUCCAGUCUCUCACCUUC
rnacentral:SRP_RNA from 1 species